rnacentral:rRNA from 1 species
GAAUUCGAUUCAGGCCUAACACAUGCAAGUCGAACGGGCGCAGCAAUGCGUCAGUGGCAGACGGGUGAGUAACACGUGGGAACCUUCCCAAGGGUACGGAACAACUCAGGGAAACUUGAGCUAAUACCGUAUACGCUCUUGCGAGGAAAGAUUUAUCGCCCUUGGACGGGCCCGCGUAGGAUUAGCUAGUUGGUGGGGUAACGGCCUACCAAGGCGACGAUCCUUAGCUGAUCUGAGAGGAUGAUCAGCCACACUGGGACUGAGACACGGCCCAGACUCCUACGGGAGGCAGCAGUGGGGAAUCUUGGACGAUGGGCGCAAGCCUGAUCCAGCCAUGCCGCGUGAGUGAAGGAGGCCUUAGGGUUGUAAAGCUCUUUUACCAGGGAAGAUAAUGA